rnacentral:lncRNA from 10 species
UUGUAUUUUUAGUAUAGACGGAGAUUUCACCAUGUUAGCCAGGAUGGUCUCGAUUUCCUUACCUCAUGAUCCCCUGCCUCGGCCUCCCAAAGUGCUGGGAUUACAGGCGUGAACCAAGGCGCCCGGCCGGAGUAGGAAUUUUAUGGGUUAUAAACUAAGGAUAUGGAGGUCGACUUGAGGAAGAAACCUGGAGUAUAAAAAUUCAGUUUGGAAAAAGACGUUUUGUCUCUUAAACUGAAGCACAUUCCUGCCAUUCAUUCGGACCAUACGAAGAUAAAACUAAAAACUUUUCUCUAAAGCUCCUGGUGAUGGUAGUUGAGUCAAUGAGCCACCAGCAACAACAAAGGACAAAAAGGUGUGUUGCUGGCAAUAUGUGGCCCCAGGGGAGAGGCAAAAGUGGAGGUUCCCGAGUCAUCUGAGAUUUGUUGCCUCGGAACAGGAUCCACAGCUCAAUAAUAGUAAA